UGGGGGGAUAUUGGUCAAUGGGGGCAACCCUGAACCAGCGACGCCGCGUGAGGGAAGAAGGUCUUCGGAUUGUAAACCUCUGUCUUCGGUGACGAUAAUGACGGUAGCCGAGGAGGAAGCCACGGCUAACUACGUGCCAGCAGCCGCGGUAAUACGUAGGUGGCAAGCGUUGUCCGGAAUUACUGGGUGUAAAGGGAGCGUAGGCGGGGACGCAAGUUGAAUGUCAAAUCCAUCGGCUCAACCGGUGAUCGCGUUCAAAACUGUGUCUCUUGAGUGGAGUAGAGGCAGGCGGAAUUCCCAGUGUAGCGGUGAAAUGCGUAGAUAUUGGG
rnacentral:rRNA from 1 species